rnacentral:lncRNA from 1 species
CCGUUGCGUGUUAGUCCUCACCGACAACACCACGGCCAUGUUUUACAUCAACAAGCAAGGAGGAGCCCGCUCGUCGCUUCUAUGCCAAGAGGCCAUUCGCCUGUGGGACUUCUGCAUCGCCCACUCGAUACAUCUCACGGCAUCGUUCCUUCCUGGAGUCCAGAACGCUGGCGGACCGUCUCAGCAGGUCCUUCCAGACACACGAGUGGUCAAUUCGCCCGGACAUCAUCUAUUCCAUCUUCCAGAGGUGGGGAUUUCCCCAGGUCGACCUGUUUGCAUCUCGAGCCAACAGGAAGUGCCACGCGUUCUGCUCCCUACAAGGGCGAGCUCUGGGCUCUCUGUCGGACGCGUUCCUUCUAUCCUGGAAAGACCACCUGUUCUACGCUUUUCCUCCACUUCCACUGGUCCACUGGGUACUGCUCAAGCUACGCAGAGACCAAGCACGGGUAAUUCUAGUCGCUCCAGCUUGGCCAAGGCAGCACUGGUACACCACACUGUUGGAGCUAUUGGUUCAAACACCGAUCACACUUCCCUUGGGUCCAGAUCUCAUCUCUCAGGACCACGGCCGACUAUGUCACCCCGACCUGCAAUUGCUCCACCUCACAGCGUGGAUGCUCCAUGGCUGAAUCGGACAGAGCGGCAAUGCUCGCAUUCCGUCCAACAGAUUCUGCUGGGAAGUAGAAAGUCCUCUACACGGACCACUUACUUAGCCAAGUGGAAACGGUUCUCCUGUUGGUGCGAGCAGCGAGCCACGCCCCCCUUGCAGGCGCCUAUUCCUCUUAUUCUUGAAUAUCUCCUCUCCCUAAAACAGCAGGGCUUGGCAAUAUCUUCAAUCAGGGUUCACCUGGCUGCUAUUUCGGCAUUCCACCCAGGAGAACUCGCUUCCUCAGUCUUCUCUAACCCAAUGGUCGUUAGAUUCCUCAAGGGCUUAGACCAACUGUACCCGCAGCAACGCCAGCCCGUUCCGACGUGGGAUCUCAACCUGGUUCUCUCCAAGCUCACAGGGCCUCCGUUCGAGCCAUUGGC